rnacentral:lncRNA from 1 species
AACCAGUCAGUCCGGCAGGUUUGCCUUUUAACUCCCUACAACCACAGACUCACCAAAUAGGUGACAGGACUGAGCAAGCCUGGCAGACAUUCAGAGAGAAGAAAGGAAAAGGCAAGACCAAGCUGGAUGGGGAAAAGAUGGCAUUUGUAAUCCAAGCAGGGUGGUGAGAGAAGAGAGCCUGCUCAGGGUUUAUGUCUUUCUGCUGCUCUACCCGUAAGCCUGGAGAGGGAGCUGAGCAAGAGAAGGGACAAAGGUGAGGCAGGGGCCUUUCAG